rnacentral:tRNA from 1 species
GAGGCGUUGGGCUGCUGGUGUGGCCCCUGGACUUCAAAUCCAGUGCUCCGGGUUAAGCCCCCGGUGGGUGGGUUCGAUUCCCAUACGCCUCC